CAGAACAAUAUCAUCCGCAAACAAAAUAACAUAAAAUAAAAUACUAAAAUAACAAAAAUGAAAAGGUUUAGACACCAAUGGUAUAAUUAUCUCUUGAUUUUCAAGUAUUUUGGCGUGAGAACAUAAGGUUCUAUAUCACAUGAUGGUGACAAGAUAGAAGAUAUAUUAGAGGAUGAGGAAAAUAUUGAGGAGGAUAAGAUUGAGGAUUUACAUAACGAAGAUAAUGAUGAUUUUUUCUGUUACUCAAAGGGUGCAUUUGGAUUGCGUUUAAAGAAUUAGGGGGUUAACAAGAGUAAUGAUUAAGGAUGUAACAAUUAAGGAGGUAAAAAAUUAUUAUAGAAUUAACAAUUAAG
rnacentral:misc_RNA from 1 species